GAAAGGAGAAAGCAACAUAUUAGACAUUCACGAUAGAGUGCUGUAAAAGCUACACCAGGAGGGGAAAGCCAAAAACGUGCAGAAGCAGGUUCUCUGUCACCCCUAACCAGCCAAAAUAUAAACCACGGCGCGGUGUUGGCUUCACCAGAAACUUGAGAGAAAACUACAAUCCAUUAUCGCUGGAGUAAAUCCACCAAACCACUCUGGAAGCUCUGGAAAGUUCUGAAACUCUCUUAAGAUUAUUGGAAUGAGUUUCGAGUAAAGUGCUUAUUGAGAGAUUAGAUCCAAGAGAGAAAGUUUCACUGAGUUUGAACAUACAUUAAAGUUUAAAAACAACUAACCAUUUAGAUCAUAGCCUAUAAACCAUGCCACCAUCAAACACUCAUAAAUAACAUAACAUUGACAACCACUUGAAACUAGCUAGGAAACCACCUUUGGAAAGGUCAAAACAGAAAAACAAAAGCAUUAACCAACAUGGUAGCAGUCCUGAACACAAUGGCUGAUCACAAAUUCUGACAAAUAACGUGAAAGAAAUCUAUCUGUUUCUUAGUAUGAAAAGUUUCUUUGCUUUGAAUCUUUCUUCAAUGAUUUCCACGAGGAUUGAGUAGGAAAUUCUCAAAAAUUUGUUUAUUUUGCUGGUAUGAGAAACCAUUUAGAGUGUAGAGUUUCAAGCCAAAAGAUAAGGUGCAUGGUGUAUGUAUAUUGGAAAUUGAUUUUUUAUCACUAAGAUUUAGGUGACUUAAAUGUAAAGUGAAAGAUUGUAUUAUACUAUAUGAACCUUAAUUGAAUGAAUGUAUUGAAAGUUGUUUUUGUUUCAACUUCCAAGAGAACUUAUUUAUUAUAGUUGGUGACAAUCUUCACUAUAAAUAGAGAAGAUGUUUAGUGGAGAAACAACACAUGAAGAAAGAGAGUGUGUGAGAAGAGAGAUUGUGAAACAAAAUCAGAAAAGUGUCUUUGUGCGAGUGUUAUCAUUUAUUGUAACCAUUAAGUGAAGUACUCAAGUUUGUAGCGUGAUACACUAUCUGAGAAGGGUUUGUGAUAGUGAAAUACUUUUGAAACGAUUCCGUGGAUGUAGGCAAGAGAUGUCGAAUCACAUUAAAUUUUUGUGUUUGCUAUUAUUUUUCUUACGGUAUAAUCUUUGUUGUGUUCUCACGAUCAUUUUUUUGAUGUAAGUAAUUUUAUUUGAAAGCGUUGAUUACCCAACCUAGAGACUUCUAAACAUUGUUUUAUUGUGGAUGCUGGCUACAGAGACACAGGAAAUCCUUCAAGAGACACAGGGAUUGGAGGGGCAACAUGAUUUUUGCAAUAUUAGGAUGCAGAUGAUUUACAAAGUUUUUGCGAAGGGCCCCUAGAAAGGAUGUUGAACAAUAAGUGGGUCAUGAUUAUAGUUUCUUGAGAAUGGAACAAAUCAAACAUUGCUUGAUUGUUUUUUUAUUUCACAUGUAGGAUCUUAGAGUUUUCAAGCGGUUUGGAAUUUGUUUUUCAUGUUGGUGGAGUUAAUCAGGAUGUUUUUUCGUAACCUUGGUUAUUAAAUAAACCUGACUUGUGAGUCAAACCUCAUAAAUGUAAGGUAUAUCAAAUUGCA
rnacentral:lncRNA from 1 species